rnacentral:rRNA from 1 species
GGUUAAGCGACUAAGCGUACACGGUGGAUGCCCUGGCAGUCAGAGGCGAUGAAGGGCGUGCUAAUCUGCGAUAAGCGCCGGUAAGGUGAUAUGAACCGUUAUAACCGGCGAUACCCGAAUGGGGAAACCCAGUGUGAUUCGUCACACUAUCAUUAACUGAAUCCAUAGGUUAAUGAGGCGAACCGGGGGAACUGAAACAUCUAAGUACCCCGAGGAAAAGAAAUCAACCGAGAUUCCCCCAGUAGCGGCGAGCGAACGGGGAGGAGCCCAGAGCCUGAAUCAGCAUGUGUGUUAGUGGAAGCGUCUGGAAAGGCGCGCGAUACAGGGUGACAGCCCCGUACACAAAAGCGCAUGUGCUGUGAGCUCGAUGAGUAGGGCGGGACACGUGGUAUCCUGUCUGAAUAUGGGGGGACCAUCCUCCAAGGCUAAAUACUCCUGACUGACCGAUAGUGAACCAGUACCGUGAGGGAAAGGCGAAAAGAACCCCGGCGAGGGGAGUGAAAAAGAACCUGAAACCGUGUACGUACAAGCAGUGGGAGCCCCACCACUAAGCCAGUGGUGAACUCCACAUCCGCAUCCUUUGCUGAGGAUACGGUUAACGGAGCGAAAGCGACGUUCAACCGCAAAACAAGCAGAGGGGGCUUAGUGGUGGGGUGACUGCGUACCUUUUGUAUAAUGGGUCAGCGACUUAUAUUCUGUAGCAAGGUUAACCGAAUAGGGGAGCCGGAGGGAAACCGAGUCUUAAUUGGGCGUUAAGUUGCAGGGUAUAGACCCGAAACCCGGUGAUCUAGCCAUGGGCAGGUUGAAGGUUGGGUAACACUAACUGGAGGACCGAACCGACUAAUGUUGAAAAAUUAGCGGAUGACCUGUGGCUGGGGGUGAAAGGCCAAUCAAACCGGGAGAUAGCUGGUUCUCCCCGAAAGCUAUUUAGGUAGCGCCUCGUGAAUUCAUCUCCGGGGGUAGAGCACUGUUUCGGCUAGGGGGCCAUCCCGGCUUACCAACCCGAUGCAAACUGCGAAUACCGGAGAAUGUUAUCACGGGAGACACACGGCGGGUGCUAACGUCCGUCGUGAAGAGGGAAACAACCCAGACCGCCAGCUAAGGUCCCAAAGUCAUGGUUAAGUGGGAAACGAUGUGGGAAGGCCCAGACAGCCAGGAUGUUGGCUUAGAAGCAGCCAUCAUUUAAAGAAAGCGUAAUAGCUCACUGGUCGAGUCGGCCUGCGCGGAAGAUGUAACGGGGCUAAACCAUGCACCGAAGCUGCGGCAGCGACGCUGAUGCGUUGUUGGGUAGGGGAGCGUUCUGUAAGCCUGUGAAGGUGUGUCGUGAGGCAUGCUGGAGGUAUCAGAAGUGCGAAUGCUGACAUAAGUAACGAUAAAGCGGGUGAAAAGCCCGCUCGCCGGAAGACCAAGGGUUCCUGUCCAACGUUAAUCGGGGCAGGGUGAGUCGACCCCUAAGGCGAGGCCGAAAGGCGUAGUCGAUGGGAAACGGGUUAAUAUUCCCGUACUUGGUGUUACUGCGAAGGGGGGACGGAGAAGGCUAUGUUGGCCGGGCGACGGUUGUCCCGGUUUAAGCGUGUAGGUGUGUGUUCCAGGUAAAUCCGGUUCACUUUAACACUGAGGCGUGACGACGAGGCACUACGGUGCUGAAGCAACAAAUGCCCUGCUUCCAGGAAAAGCCUCUAAGCAUCAGGUAACAUCAAAUCGUACCCCAAACCGACACAGGUGGUCAGGUAGAGAAUACCAAGGCGCUUGAGAGAACUCGGGUGAAGGAACUAGGCAAAAUGGUGCCGUAACUUCGGGAGAAGGCACGCUGACACGUAGGUGAAGUGAUUUACUCAUGGAGCUGAAGUCAGUCGAAGAUACCAGCUGGCUGCAACUGUUUAUUAAAAACACAGCACUGUGCAAACACGAAAGUGGACGUAUACGGUGUGACGCCUGCCCGGUGCCGGAAGGUUAAUUGAUGGGGUCAGCGCAAGCGAAGCUCCUGAUCGAAGCCCCGGUAAACGGCGGCCGUAACUAUAACGGUCCUAAGGUAGCGAAAUUCCUUGUCGGGUAAGUUCCGACCUGCACGAAUGGCGUAAUGAUGGCCAGGCUGUCUCCACCCGAGACUCAGUGAAAUUGAACUCGCUGUGAAGAUGCAGUGUACCCGCGGCAAGACGGAAAGACCCCGUGAACCUUUACUAUAGCUUGACACUGAACAUUGAGCCUUGAUGUGUAGGAUAGGUGGGAGGCUUUGAAGUGUGGACGCCAGUCUGCAUGGAGCCGACCUUGAAAUACCACCCUUUAAUGUUUGAUGUUCUAACGUGGACCCGUAAUCCGGGUUGCGGACAGUGUCUGGUGGGUAGUUUGACUGGGGCGGUCUCCUCCUAAAGAGUAACGGAGGAGCACGAAGGUUGGCUAAUCCUGGUCGGACAUCAGGAGGUUAGUGCAAUGGCAUAAGCCAGCUUGACUGCGAGCGUGACGGCGCGAGCAGGUGCGAAAGCAGGUCAUAGUGAUCCGGUGGUUCUGAAUGGAAGGGCCAUCGCUCAACGGAUAAAAGGUACUCCGGGGAUAACAGGCUGAUACCGCCCAAGAGUUCAUAUCGACGGCGGUGUUUGGCACCUCGAUGUCGGCUCAUCACAUCCUGGGGCUGAAGUAGGUCCCAAGGGUAUGGCUGUUCGCCAUUUAAAGUGGUACGCGAGCUGGGUUUAGAACGUCGUGAGACAGUUCGGUCCCUAUCUGCCGUGGGCGCUGGAGAACUGAGGGGGGCUGCUCCUAGUACGAGAGGACCGGAGUGGACGCAUCACUGGUGUUCGGGUUGUCAUGCCAAUGGCACUGCCCGGUAGCUAAAUGCGGAAGAGAUAAGUGCUGAAAGCAUCUAAGCACGAAACUUGCCCCGAGAUGAGUUCUCCCUGAGACUUAGAGUCUCCUGAAGGAACGUUGAAGACGACGACGUUGAUAGGCCGGGUGUGUAAGCGCAGCGAUGCGUUGAGCUAACCGGUACUAAUGAACCGUGAGGCUUAACCUU